AGGAAAGUAGUAGAAGAAACCACUUUACCUGCCAAAGUUCCGCGUACUACCAGGACCCCAAGUAAUAAAGAUAGCAAGGAAGAAAACAUCUCAAGUGGAAGAGUUACACGUAACAGAACUUCAGCAACUCCUUCCCAAGACACUUCCACCAAACCAGCCUCAACUAGCAGAGGCAGACAGUCCAGAUCCUCAACAACUGUAGUCCCUGAGACAGACUCAUCAGCAUCCAGUGGAAGAGCUGCAAAACAUAAAGAGGUAGAGGACUCACACCUGAAAGUCACUCCAGGCAACAGACAGACCAAACCUGAGGCUGCCAUCAGUGAAACUCGCUCCAGUCGAAGAGGCAGGGGUUCAGCACAAAAGGAUUCACAAGUCAUUGCAAGUGAAUCAUUGCAAUCAUCCACAACGUCUCGCUCAACGACGAGAGCUUCACGAGUUUCCACCACUAGUGAAGAUACCACACCAGUGCGCAGGUCAGGCAGAUCUGCUAUACUCUCCCAGAGUACUGACUCCGAGUCUGAGAGGACCCCAACCCCAAGGAGAUCAGCACGUUCUUCAGCAACCAAGGAAGUGAAUAAGAAGAGGAAAUAGGAAUUUAUAAUGUAUAAU